UACAGAGGGGGCAAGCGUUGUUCGGAAUUACUGGGCGUAAAGGGCGCGUAGGCGGCCUGCUAAGUCGAACGUGAAAUCCCUGGGCUCAACCCGGGAACUGCGUCCGAUACUGGAAGGCUUGAAUCCGGGAGAGGGAUGCGGAAUUCCAGGUGUAGCGGUGAAAUGCGUAGAUAUCUGGAGGAACACCGGUGGCGAAGGCGGCAUCCUGGACCGGCAUUGACGCUGAGGCGCGAAAGCCAGGGGAGCAAACGGG
rnacentral:rRNA from 1 species